CUCCCCUUCCCAAAACCUCAAUCUCUCCUUUCAAAAAAAAAAAACCUCAAUCUCAGAGGAAAAAGGUAACCUCCUCGCCGCCGGCCAAUCGGGCAUCCGCCAUGGCCUACCUCCCGCCCCACCGGCGCCACUCCAGCAGCUCCGAGCCCGCCCCAACCCCUUUCCCACCGAUCUCCUCCCUCCAGUCCCUUUCCAUCUCCUCCCCUCGCGGUCGCGGGCGUCACCACCUCCGCCCGUCCAACAACAAGAUCAUCCACGCCGCGGGCUGCGUCUCCCGCUGGUCCCCGCUCCCGCCCUUCCCCCCCGGCUCCGGCGACGCCGACACUUUCCGCCUCGUCCCCUUCCCCUGCGAUCCCAUCGAGCGCGAGACGGGCGCCAAGCCCCUCGUCCUCGCCCUCUCCUCCCCGAAAAGCGCCCCCGGCUCCGCGGAGGCCGCGGUCGCGGCCAUCACCGAGAGUUUCUUGCCGGACCUCCUAGCCGCGGCGGAGAGGGCGAGGGCGACGGCGCGCGAUGCGCCCACGGAAGACGAGGAGGUAAAGCUGAGCCUCGUGGCAAGGGUGGGCAAGGUCCUGUUCCAACCCGGACCUAGCGGCGGACCCGUCUCCCUGGACUCUGUCCGCGACGCAGCAAAAGCAGGGGCAGAAGGAUCGAGGAGCCAGGUCCGUAAAUCGUUCUAUACGAAUUUGCCCGGCAAGUGUGUGGAUGAGAUUGGGAUGUAUAUUGGGAAGCUGACGGAUCUGAAGUUCGAUUCAUCAAAAAAGCACUACCAUGUCAAGGUGUUUGACAAGCAGCGAAGUGAUACGACGAUGUCUUGCAAAUGCACCGUGCAAGAGGAUGGGAAGCUUGUGAUCCACAAGGUUGAAUUGAACCAGAUACGGCAGCUGGUGGAGGACAUAUCCUGCCUGUCCAAAGAUUUUGAUUUAAGGCUGAUGUUGCGUACAAAAAGGAUCCUGAAGAACAUAGACCCUGAAGUGGAAAAUGCCAUAAAGAGCUUAGUGUCUUCAGCUAUUGUUGAUCCUGAUGCCAAAGGGGGACUUAAAUGGCCACUUGGGAAUGAGUCGAUUGGUGAGAGGUUCAGCAUAGUUGGGGUGUGGCAUACAAGCUAUAGUGCUUUCAGGAAUAAAACCUUAAGGUUGAAGCUCAGGUGUGCUGACCGGUUUGACCACCGGAGCUCCACUGGAGAGAUUUCCAAUGAAGUUACCUUCAAACUAACUGGCAUAUCUGAGAGACUGCAGGAUGGGAAUGAAGAGGUGGACACUCUGAAGGGGAUGCUGGACUCCGCGGUGCAGAUGAUCUGGGACACUGUUUUGAGCUACAAGAUCAAGCCUUGAGCUUGGGUAUGCUGACAUACAGGGGGAGUACAUUUUUUUUCCGAAACGAAGGCAAAAGAUUUGCCUCAUCUAUUAAAUAAGAAGAGGAUAGAGUUUGUUACAAGGACACACUUUUAGACGAUGAUGUUGUUUAGCAAGAUUGGUGGCGGAGCACUCUUGUUCCGGAAAACACGGGCAUUCCGCUCGUUCCAAAUGGUCCAUGACACGAGCAUGUUUAGAGAGGCCAUGGCCUUCCUGUUGGGGACUCCGGCGCCGGUCCUAUUUGUCCACCAUUCCUUGACCGAACUCUCAAGAUGCCACAUAGAGGUGUCCAUAUGAUGAAGCCCAAAUUUUGCAAUGACCAAGUUCCAUAGCCUAAUAGUGAAGCGGCACUUGAAGAAAAGGUGCGGUCCACUUUCUUGCUCUCGCUUGCAAAGGGUGCAAAGACCACAAUUUGGCCAUCCACGUUUUUGUAGUCUAUCCGCGGUCCAAGUUCUGUCUUGGAUAGCCAACCAAGCGAAGAAUUUAGCCUUUGGUGGCGCCCAAGUUUUCCAAACCAUUUGGUCCAUGGGAGAGAGAACCAAGCCAAGGAAUUGGGCCUUGUAGGCGGAGGCUGCAGUGUAGUGCCCGCUUGUCGUAUGCUUCCACACAAUAGUAUCUUCAGAGAGUGCAUCCAGAUGUACAUCAUUCACAAGUGUCCAUAGUGUGAAGAAUUGUCGGAUGUGCUCAGCGGAGACAAUCGUGGAGGUGUUGAUCUUGAGGAUCCAUGCAUUAUUUUGUAGGGCCUCCCGCACCUUCCAAUUCUUCCUUGAGGAGGCCACAAAGACGAGCGGGGCAACAUCCUUAGGCUUGCACCCAUGGAGCCAUGGUGAAUCCCAAAAAGGCGUUUUAGCGCCGUUCCCCAUGGUGAUGGUCGUGGAUGCAUAGAAGAAGUCAAGGUCCUCCUCAUUACAUGGAUUUCCCAAGCCCACCCACAACUUUUGUGGUGCCGUCCAUUCAAACCAUGGCCAUCUCAAGCGCAAGGCCCGAGCGAAUUUAUCGGUGUUGAGAACCCCUAGGCCGCCAUAUUCGCACGGGCGGCAAACCAUCUCCCAGUUUACCUUGCACUUGGCGCCCGUCGUCUUAUCCGAUCCCGACCAAAGGAAAGCCCGCUCCAGUUUGUUGAUAUUGUGAAGAAUGCCCGGCGGUAUGACCAAAGAUGUGAUGAAAUAGACCGCUUGCGAGGUGGCGACAGACUUAACAAGUGUCGUUCGUCCAAUGGUGGUGAUGUUUUGCCCCUCGUAUGUCACCAACUUGGCCGCAAUUUUGUCCUCAAGAAAUUGCAAAUCCACCUUCUUAAGCUGCCAGACGGACAAUGGAAGACCCAAGUAUCUUAUGGGGAAGGACGCCCUGUUAGCUAGCAAUCCUUGCAGAAUGUGCUCCAGGUUUAGGUGAUUGCAUCGAAUGGGCACAACCGAGCUCUUGUGAAAAUUGGUGCAUAGUCCGGUGACCUCCCCAAAUCCGCGCAAAAUGGCCGAGAGGUUGUCAAUAUCUUUUUUGAUUGGAGCCAUGAAAACAGCCGCAUCGUCUGCAUAUAGUGAAGUUCGCACCAUGAUCCCUCUCCCACGAAUUUUGUGGAGUAGUCCUUUUCGGGUUGCCAGCUCCAGUAGUUGUUGGAGUGUGUCAAUUGCAAUGACAAAAAGGAGCGGGGAUAGGGGGUCCCCCUGCCGAAGGCCCCUACCGUGCUUGAUGGGGUUGCCAGCCACCCCGUUUAACGGAAUCCUAGAAGAUGAUGUGCAAAGAAGAGCCGCAAUCCAAUCCCGAAACUUGGGGGGAAACCCCCUCCGCCGAAGGAGGUCGAGGAUGUAUUCCCAUCUGACCGAGUCGAAGGCUUUGCGUAUAUCUAGCUUGAACAGGAGAGACGGAGUCUUGCAUUUGUGUAGCCUACGGGCCAAGUUCCGAACACACAUGAAGUUAUCGUGGAUGCUUCUGCUCUUGAUGAAUGCACUUUGGGCGUUAGAGACCAAGCUGUUCAUGCGCGGGGCGAGACGGAUGGAAAGAAUUUUUGCGAUAAUCUUGGCGACGGCAUGAAUGAGACUAAUGGGCCUGUAGUCCGCAAUCCCCUCCGCGCCCUCUUUCUUGGGCAACAGCACUAUAUUUGCGGAGUUGAGCCAAUGGAGACUAGAUGUGUGAAGGGAGUCAAACUGGUGUAUCACCCUCAUCAUGUCGAACUUAAUGACGUCCCAACACUUCUUAAAAAAAGCUCCAGUGAAGCCGUCUGGGCCGGGCGCCUUGUCACUUGGCAUGUCAUUGAUUGCCUCACGUACCUCCUCAACGGUGAUGGGUGAGUCGAGGCCGUGCAAGUCAUGUACCUCUAAGUUGAGCUCCUCCCAGUUUAGAUCCUUAUUGCACGUGUUUCCUUUUUUCAUCACUUCAGAAAAGUGGUCCAGAAUGAGCUUCUCCUUAGCGUCAUGCUCGGUGACCCACCCUUGGUCAUGUUUUAGCCUAUGAAUGUGAUUUUUCCUCCUUCUAGCAUUAAUCCGGCGAUGGAAGAACUUGGUGUUGGCAUCACCCUCCUUGAGGUUAGCAAUUCUCGCACUUUGCUUUUUCCGAGCUCUCUCAAGCACGGCCAAGCUAAUGACCCUCCUUUUAAGCCUCGCCCUAAGGUCACUCUCCUCGGGGGAGAGUUGUCGGGUCUCUUGAGCGAUGUCGAGGCGUAGGAUCACGAAUAGUGCAGCGUGUAGGUGAACCUUUGCCUUGGAGAAAAGGCCCCUACUCCAUUCGGAAAGGCGGAGAGCCACCUUCUUGAGCUUAUGGAACAGGACUUGAUAUGGCUCAACAUGCUCGAGCGGCUCAAUCCAAGCCUUUUUGACCACCUCCAUAAAGCCGGGCAUAGCAAUCCAAAAAAUUUCAAACUUGAAGGUUCUAGGCCUCCGAGGCCCCUUAUCAUCUGCGAGGAGAAGCGGGCAGUGAUCGGAUAGAGAGGACGAGAGGGCGUGAAGCAGAUGAGUGCUGAAAGUGGUGUCCCACUCGGCAUUGCAAAAAAACAAGUCCAGUUUGCACAUAGUCGGGUUUUCCCUCGUUGCUCCAAGUGAACCUCCUAUUUUGCAGGUGUAUCUCUUUAAGCUCACAACUUUGCAGUGUCGCUCGAAACCGAUUAAUUCUACUUCGAUUGACAUGCCUUUUAUUUUUGUCUCUUGCACGAUAAAUUUGGUUGAAAUCCCCAGCCGCAAGCCAUGGCAUGCCAUUGGGCGGUUUUUGGCUGAUAAGCUCCGCGAAGAAGGCAUCUUUGCGAGAAGAAUCCGCGGGGCCGUACACGGUGGUGAGCUUGUAUUGCACAUCAGAGUCACGAAUACGGACCAUGGCGGACAGGCAGAAGGUGGUAGCUGUGAUGUUGGACAUUUCCACAAGGUGAUCGUCCCAGAGCAGCAAAAUGCCUCCACGAGUGCCGUCCGCCGGCCUUUGCGCAAAACUGCGGAGUCUGCUCCCUCCUAAGAAGGAAGCUGUGAAGAUGUCGACAUUGUGAAGCUUUGUUUCCUGUAGACACACAAUAUGGCAAGAAGAAGCAGCGAUGGUGGUGCUGACAGUAGCUCGUCUAUCCGGAUAGUUGAGGCCCCGGACAUUCCAACACAUAAACAGGGGGAGUACAUUGCAUUGUCAUUGUGUGCCAUAUAGUUGUUUGACGAUGCUUUGGUCUUCCUUGCUAGUUGCUACUGCAAUGGGUGUGGUUUACAGACCCGCUGUCUAUAUAGAGUUGUAGUAGUAUUUAGUAGUGGAUUACUGAAUUGCCAUGCUGGUUAACUGCACGAGAAUGCGGUGUGUGCUACCUGCUGAGUUGCAAUUUUCAGAUUGUUCGCAUUUCA